rnacentral:rRNA from 1 species
UACGGAGGGUGCAAGCGUUGUCCGGAAUCACUGGGCGUAAAGGGCGCGCAGGCGGCUCAUGAAGGCUGUGGUGAAAGUCCGGGGCUCAACCUCGGAUCGGCCGUGGCGACUCGUGGGCUGGAGCACUGUAGAGGCGGGUGGAAUUCCGGGUGUAGCGGUGGAAUGCGUAGAGAUCCGGAAGAACACCAGUGGCGAAGGCGGCCCGCUGGGCAGUGGCUGACGCUGAGGCGCGACAGCGUGGGGAGCAAACGGG